rnacentral:rRNA from 1 species
GAACUGAAGAGUUUGAUCAUGGCUCAGAUUGAACGCUGGCGGCAGGCCUAACACAUGCAAGUCGAGCGGAUGAAAGGAGCUUGCUCCUGGAUUCAGCGGCGGACGGGUGAGUAAUGCCUAGGAAUCUGCCUGGUAGUGGGGGAUAACGUCCGGAAACGGGCGCUAAUACCGCAUACGUCCUGAGGGAGAAAGUGGGGGAUCUUCGGACCUCACGCUAUCAGAUGAGCCUA